UGCCGAUCACCCUUGGCGCUCCACCUCCUCAGAUGUCACCUGAUGGGGGGAGCAAAUGCGCAUGCACGGAAAGAGCAGUGAGCGGAUAAGGUCCUCCCCAUAGGAAAACAAUGCACAAUGUUUUUCCUAUGGGGUUUUCUCUGAUGCUGGGUGUCCUCAUGCAGAGCAUUAGGACGUCCAGUGUCAGGUGAUCAAAAGUCGCCUAGCAAGUAGACUGACAGUCACUAGAGGCACUCUUAG